AUGCCAAGGUGACAUUCGAUACCCUGGUCAAGUAGGUGGUUUUCCUAGGGUGAGGCUCACCCAUGGCACUCAGGGUGUGCUGACCCCUGUGGCUUCCCCAAAUGGGGCAAACUUGACAGAAGUUUAUGGGAGGGAGGGACUGUGUUCAUGCCUUACUCUA
ensembl:snRNA U1 U1 spliceosomal RNA